rnacentral:misc_RNA from 1 species
GAUGAAGAACGUAGCGAAAUGCGAUAAGUAGUGUGAAUUGCAGAAUUCAGUGAAUCAUCGAAUCUUUGAACGCACAUUGCGGCCAUAGGUAUUCCUUUGGCCAUGCCUGUUCGAGCGUCAUUUACACCCUCAAGCCUAGCUUGGUGUUGGGCGUCUGUCCCGCCGUUUUCGCGCGCGGACUCGCCUCAAGGUCAUUGGCGGCGGUCGUGCCGGCCCCCUCGCGCAGCACAUUUGCGCUUCUCGGAGGCCCGGCGGAUCCGCGCUCCAGCAAGACCUUUCACGACUUGACCUCGGAUCAGGUAGGGAUACCCGCUGAACUUAAGCAUAUCAAUAAGCGGAGGA